rnacentral:tRNA from 1 species
UAGAUAGAUGCUCGUUAGUUUGGGCGCUUAACUGUUAAUUAAGAGUUUGUAGGAUCAAAGCCUUCUUAUCUAG